CCCACCAGAGCCACGACAUCUCGCCGGAGUUCGCCUCUGUUCGCCUCGGCCGCCGCGGUUCCUCCUUGGUUCCGGCCAGCUCGAGCAUCCCCUCCUCCCCGGGUGUUGUCCUCGAUCUCCCCCACCUCCUCGCAGUUCGCGCAAACCCCUUGCCCCUCGCCUGAGAGUUCCGUGGCCGCGUCGCCGUCGUUCGGCCACUGCAUCCUCUGGCCAUCCCGAGCCUCCUCGUGCCUCCCCGACAUCACCACGGCCUCCCCCUCGUCCUCGCGAGCCGCCCCGACUCCUCAGCCCUCGCCGGAGCGCCCUGCUCCGACGAACACCACCUCCGCCGAGCCGCCUCUGCCCUCCCAUGGCGUCGCCUCUCCCCUCCAGCCCUCUCCUCCCCGGCGGCCGUGCUCCCUCUGAACGGGUGCAGCGCAGCCCCGCGGUCCCGCCGGUACCCUCGGCCUGGCCGGGGAUCACCGGAGCCGGCCGGCCCCUUGGCCGCUUCCCUCCUCUGUCCCGCUCUGUUCCACGGGAGGAACAGAGGCGCGGGAGGAAGAGGACGACCUCGCUGCCCCCCUGCCCCCUGCCCUUGGGUCCCACGCGCCAGUGGCCCAGGCGCCUCAGCCCACGUGGAUAAGUGGAGACGGGUUUCCCCCGGGGACCCGUUGGUGAUGAAAAUAUUCACAGAUUGGUCCCUGAUCUUCUACACCUCAUAACUCCGCAACCGUAACUCCGUUUAAGCCCCCUCCGAGAGAGAACUGUUUCCGGCAAAUCUUUCCGCGGCUUCACC